rnacentral:lncRNA from 10 species
CUUUCACCUCCCCCUUCUCCUCUUCCUCCUCCUCGUCCUCCCUUUCACGGUCGCCAGGGAGAGGCUGGUGUCCCCAUAGCGAGGGCUGGAUUUAAGUUGAGACAAAUUAUCCUUCUCCCUUACGCAGUGCACAUGCCCAGAGCCCCUUUCUAGCCUCAGGGCUCCUGGUGCCCUGUGGGGCAGGGGAAUGUCUCCGGGCAGUGUGGUUUGGGGUUGGGAGUUGGAAGGACUGUGGUUCCUGGAUGACUGUGGAGAGAUGUGAAUUUGGGAGUCUGGUUGUGAGGCCAUCUGAGGCUGCCCAGUGUGUGGCUGUUGUGCUUUGUGUCCCUGUGUGUAUGUCCUUGUGUGUAUGUGUGUCCCCUUGUGUGUCCCCGUGUAUGUGUGUGUCCCUGUGUGUGUCCCCAUAUGUGUCUGUGUGUGUAUGUGUGUGUGUCCCCGUGUGGGUAUGCGUGCGUGUAUGUGUGUGUCUCCGUGUGUGUGUGUAUGCACACAAAAGCAGCUGAGCAUUCCUCAGGCCUGGCCUGGAAUUUCAGAUCCACUCUGGAUGAAAGUUGCUGCUGGCUGCCUCUUCUGUUCCCCUAACUAUGGGCACUGCCUUUUCCUUAUGCCAAGCUGCCCGCAGCUGAGAGCAAUGCAGGGUCUCCCUCUCUGCACAGCAAAUUCUGGCUGGGGACUCCACUCUCCUGCUCCACAGGCCACCUGGACGCACUGCCCAGGGCCACGGGAGGGACACCUGCAGCGGAUGGACAUCAAAAACUAAGGUCAAUGGCCGGGUGCAGUGGCUCAUGCCUGUAAUCCCAGCACUUAGG